rnacentral:rRNA from 1 species
UGACGAGUGGCGGACGGGUGAGUAAUGUCUGGGAAACUGCCUGAUGGAGGGGGAUAACUACUGGAAACGGUAGCUAAUACCGCAUAACGUCGCAAGACCAAAGAGGGGGACCUUCGGGCCUCUUGCCAUCAGAUGUGCCCAGAUGGGAUUAGCUAGUAGGUGGGGUAACGGCUCACCUAGGCGACGAUCCCUAGCUGGUCUGAGAGGAUGACCAGCCACACUGGAACUGAGACACGGUCCAGACUCCUACGGGAGGCAGCAGUGGGGAAUAUUGCACAAUGGGCGCAAGCCUGAUGCAGCCAUGCCGCGUGUAUGAAGAAGGCCUUCGGGUUGUAAAGUACUUUCAGCGGGGAGGAAGGCGUUGUGGUUAAUAACCACAGCGAUUGACGUUACCCGCAGAAGAAGCACCGGCUAACUCCGUGCCAGCAGCCGCGGUAAUACGGAGGGUGCAAGCGUUAAUCGGAAUUACUGGGCGUAAAGCGCACGCAGGCGGUCUGUCAAGUCGGAUGUGAAAUCCCCGGGCUCAACCUGGGAACUGCAUUCGAAACUGGCAGGCUAGAGUCUUGUAGAGGGGGGUAGAAUUCCAGGUGUAGCGGUGAAAUGCGUAGAGAUCUGGAGGAAUACCGGUGGCGAAGGCGGCCCCCUGGACAAAGACUGACGCUCAGGUGCGAAAGCGUGGGGAGCAAACAGGAUUAGAUACCCUGGUAGUCCACGCCGUAAACGAUGUCGACUUGGAGGUUGUGCCCUUGAGGCGUGGCUUCCGGAGCUAACGCGUUAAGUCGACCGCCUGGGGAGUACGGCCGCAAGGUUAAAACUCAAAUGAAUUGACGGGGGCCCGCACAAGCGGUGGAGCAUGUGGUUUAAUUCGAUGCAACGCGAAGAACCUUACCUACUCUUGACAUCCAGAGAACUUAGCAGAGAUGCUUUGGUGCCUUCGGGAACUCUGAGACAGGUGCUGCAUGGCUGUCGUCAGCUCGUGUUGUGAAAUGUUGGGUUAAGUCCCGCAACGAGCGCAACCCUUAUCCUUUGUUGCCAGCGGUUAGGCCGGGAACUCAAAGGAGACUGCCAGUGAUAAACUGGAGGAAGGUGGGGAUGACGUCAAGUCAUCAUGGCCCUUACGAGUAGGGCUACACACGUGCUACAAUGGCGCAUACAAAGAGAAGCGACCUCGCGAGAGCAAGCGGACCUCAUAAAGUGCGUCGUAGUCCGGAUUGGAGUCUGCAACUCGACUCCAUGAAGUCGGAAUCGCUAGUAAUCGUAGAUCAGAAUGCUACGGUGAAUACGUUCCCGGGCCUUGUACACACCGCCCGUCACACCAUGGGAGUGGGUUGCAAAAGAAGUAGGUAGCUUAACCUUCGGGAGGGCGCUUACCACUUUGUGAUUCAUGACUGGGGUGAAGUCGUAACAAGGUAACCGUAGGGGAACCUGCGGUUGGAUCACCUCCUUA